rnacentral:tRNA from 1 species
GCCUGGGUGGCUCACUGGGCUAAGCAUCUGACUUCGGCUCAGGUCCUGAUCUCACAGUUUGUGGGUUCGAGCCCCGCGUCAGGCU